rnacentral:rRNA from 1 species
GUUUGAUCAUGGCUCAGAUUGAACGCUGGCGGCAGGCCUAACACAUGCAAGUCGAACGGUGACAGGAAACAGCUUGCUGUUUCGCUGACGAGUGGCGGACGGGUGAGUAAUGUCUGGGAAACUGCCUGAUGGAGGGGGAUAACUACUGGAAACGGUAGCUAAUACCGCAUAACGUCGCAAGACCAAAGAGGGGGACCUUCGGGCCUCUUGCCAUCGGAUGUGCCCAGAUGGGAUUAGCUAGUAGGUGGGGUAACGGCUCACCUAGGCGACGAUCCCUAGCUGGUCUGAGAGGAUGACCAGCCACACUGGAACUGAGACACGGUCCAGACUCCUACGGGAGGCAGCAGUGGGGAAUAUUGCACAAUGGGCGCAAGCCUGAUGCAGCCAUGCCGCGUGUAUGAAGAAGGCCUUCGGGUUGUAAAGUACUUUCAGCGGGGAGGAAGGGAGUAAAGUUAAUACCUUUGCUCAUUGACGUUACCCGCAGAAGAAGCACCGGCUAACUCCGUGCCAGCAGCCGCGGUAAUACGGAGGGUGCAAGCGUUAAUCGGAAUUACUGGGCGUAAAGCGCACGCAGGCGGUUUGUUAAGUCAGAUGUGAAAUCCCCGGGCUCAACCUGGGAACUGCAUCUGAUACUGGCAAGCUG